GGGGUGGGGUGGACGUGGAAGAGGAAGAGGCUAUAGGUAAAUUCGAUGCAUAUGUGCAAAGCGAACUACUGGAAUAUGGAAGAGCAUCUGUACCAGAAGAAAAUGGGUGAGAGUUGAUUAUGUAUUAAAAAAAAAAUUCUUUUGUUGGAACGAGAUUUCAUACAUGGAGGGAACUGACACAUUUUCAAAUUUAUUGUGUACUAACCAACAAUCUUAUUCAAAUGGAGCUAGUCUAUCAGUUUGUAGAUUGGCUAGGGAUUAGGGUUUUGUGUUCCCAAUCUGAACCAAUUUAUGAGCAAAUCAAAGCUGUAUUGCUGGGCUAAGGAAUCAUCUUUGCAUGUGUAUUUUUUAGGUAUUUUCAUCUUAGAAUGAGAGAACAAUGGUUAGUCAUUUCUGAUCAUAUAUAUGUAGAAUAUGCGUUAGGCCGGC
rnacentral:misc_RNA from 1 species